UUGUCGUGCUACUCAUGCUAUUACUACUAAAGCUAUAUCCUAGCAAAAUAGUAAACACAUCUGCAAGCACAAACGUUAGUUUAAAGACAACCCUAUGGCUCCUGCCGGUUGCCGUACCAUCGACGUGCAAGUCUAUAUUAUCUAUUACAACAUGAUCAUCUCAUACAUCCAAUAUAUCACGUCACAUCGUUGGCCAUAUCACAUCACAAGCAUACCCUGCAAAAACAAGUUAGACGUCCUCUAAUUUUGUUGUUGCAUGUUUUACGUGGUGACCAAGGGCAUCUAGUAGGAUUGCAUCUUACUUACGCAAACACCACAACGGAGAUAUAU
rnacentral:lncRNA from 1 species